rfam:Candidatus Shapirobacteria bacterium CG2_30_35_20 cg2_3.0_scaffold_6580_c, whole genome shotgun sequence.
AUAAUUCCUCUUGUCCUACCGAAGACAGCAGGUUUAGCGAAAGCUUAUAAUUCCCGCCGAGGCUAAAAAUAGAUUUUUAAUCUACCUCGCCUCUUCGGCGAGUUUUUUGUUUUUAAAU